GACGAACGCUGGCGGCGUGCCUAAUACAUGCAAGUCGAGCGGACUUUCCGGAGUGCUUGCACUCCGGAAGGUUAGCGGGGGACGGGUGAGUAACACGUAUGCAAUCUGCCCAUGAGACCGGGAUAACAUUCGGAAACGAAUGCUAAUACCGUAUAGACGGACUUCUCGCAUGCGGGGAACGGGAAAUGCGGAGCAAUCUGCCUCUUAUGUAUUGGCCUGCGGCUGAUGUGAUAGUUGGUGGGGGAACUGCCUACCAAGGCGACGAUGCGUGGCCGACCUCAGAGGGUGAUCGGCCCGACUGGGAAUGAGAGACGGCCAAGAGUCGUACGGGAGGCAGCAGUAGGGAAUCUUCCGCAAUGGACGGAAGACUGACGGAGCAACGCCGCGUGAGUGAGGAAGGCAUUCGGGUCGUAAAACUCUGUUGUCAGGGAAGAACGGGGAGGGGAGUAACUACGAAUGCCAUGACGGUACCUGAGAAGAAAGCCACGGCUAACUACGUG
rnacentral:rRNA from 1 species